UUUGUUUAGGGGGAGGUUUGUCCAGAUUGAGACCUUUAAAAGUGUGGACCAGACAACUUCUUUAUUUUUGACCCAGAGGAGGCCAAGGGACAGAGCUUGAGCUAUUGCGGAGGGUGAAGUUCAGCAGGCAUGAUGCAGGCUCUCUGGGCUCUGUGGUUGUCUGCUUUUACAGCUCUGCAUUGCGCUUCACCACUGUUUUUGGAGAAGGAAAGCACUGGCUCCAGAAUCUGUAAGCCUGCUCCGAAGUGGGAGAUCGAUGGCGAGAUUCCGAUGAAGGACCUUCUAGGAAAUGUAGUUGUUGUGGCUCUUCUUAAAGCGAGCUGACGGUUCUGUCUCACGCAGGCUGCCAGGUUGGGAGACCUGAGU